rnacentral:rRNA from 1 species
UACGUAGGGUGCAAGCGUUGUCCGGAAUUAUUGGGCGUAAAGAGCUCGUAGGCGGUUUGUCGCGUCGAAUGUGAAAACCCGGGGCUCAACCCCGGGCCUGCAUUCGAUACGGGCAGACUAGAGUUCGGUAGGGGAGUCUGGAAUUCCUGGUGUAGCGGUGAAAUGCGCAGAUAUCAGGAGGAACACCGGUGGCGAAGGCGGUUCUCUGGGCCUUACCUGACGCUGAGGAGCGAAAGCGUGGGGAGCGAACAGG